rnacentral:rRNA from 1 species
CCUACGGGAGGCAGCAGUAGGGAAUAUUGCUCAAUGGGGGAAACCCUGAACCAGCAACGCCGCGUGGAGGAUGAAGGUUUUAGGAUUGUAAACUCCUUUUGUGAGAGAAGAUAAUGACGGUAUGUCACGAAUAAGCCACGUCCAACUCCGUGCCAGCAGCCGCGGUAACACGGAGGAUGCAAGCGUUAUCCGGAGUCAGUGGGCGUAAAGCGUGCGCAGGCGGGUUUGUAAGUCAGAGGUGAAAUUCUGUAGUUUAACUACAGAACUGCAUUUGAAACUAUGAGUCUAGAGUGUGGGAGAGGUAGGUGGAAUUCUUGGUGUAGGGGUAAAAUGCGUAGAUAUCAAGAAGAAUACUGAUUGCGAAGGCGGCCUACUGGAACAUAACUGACGCUGAUGCACGAAAGCGUGGGGAGCAAACAGGAUUAGAUACCCCAGUAGUC